rnacentral:tRNA from 1 species
GGGAGUAUAGCUCAGUUGGUAAGAGCACUCGCCUGAUAAGCGAGAGGUCAGUAGUUCGAUUCUACUUAUUCCCACCA